CCAGCUUCCCUAAACUCCUUUUUCCUUGAACUUCACUGCAAUCAAAUUCUUUCUAUUUGUGCUGUGAACCUGGAAAAAUGCAACUGCUUUCUUUAACUUUCUCCUGUCUCUCCUCUGUUCCCUUAAGAUUUGGAAUUCAAUCUUGUGAUUGCUUCCAUCCAAGAUACUCAUCUGUCUUUAGAUACCCCACUGUUGACCAGAUACAAAACACAAAGGGCAUCUGUCCUCCUUGAUUUUUAUUGUUUUGUGCACUAGGGGAUGCCCCAGGGGAUGCAGCUCAGAACCCUGUUUGAUGAUCUGCAGCCUGAUGUGUUGUCCUUUGGCAGCCAACUGGGUCAAGUUUCCCAAUAGCAAUCUUCAAGGCUUUAGCCCAUCAAGACAAGAUCAGAGGAGCAUUCAUCUUGUUCUAAUGUCUGGGGGACAGAAGAAUAAAUCCUGAUACUCUGGAGCAUGCUACAUAGAAUUAUCCACAUGAGAAGCAAGUUAACUGCACAUCACUGCCUACUGUUUGGAAAGUCUGCUUUCAUUAUUUCUAUUUGGGCACAUAUUUUUGGAACCCUUGCUGUUUUCUAGUGUCCACUGUGUCUUAAUUCAAAUUGUAGUCACAUAGAUUUGCCAUAAUAUCUAAUGUCUGCUGCUGUAUAAAAUGUCUGGCCAGGUGCAGUGGCUCACACUUAUAAUCCCAGAACUUUGGGAGGUCAAGGAAAGAGGAUCACUUGAGGCCAAGAGUUCUAGACCAGCCUGGUCAACAUGGUGACUCUGUCUCUACAAAAGAUUUUGGUUUUAAAUUAGCCAGGUAUGGUGGCACAUGCUUGAAGUGCCAGCUAUUCAGGAAGCUGCAGCAGGAGGAUCCCUUGAGCCUAGGAAUUUGAGGCUGCAGUGAGCUAUGAUUGCAUCACUGCACUCCAGCCUGGGCAACAAAGUGAGACCCUAUCUCUUAAAUAAUAAAAAUAAAAAAAAGUCUGCGUGUAUUUUUGUGGUGCCCCUGGCUCCAUUCAUACAUCAAAUUAUUUAUGCUGUGACAUAGGUUGUGUAUUAAAUUAAAUCAUCCCAAAUGUAUCUUUAUCCCAAUUUGGUAAAAAAUGAAUUUGGCUUUUUUGUGUGUCAUGCAGUAAUAAAGGAAAUGGUCAAUAAUCAGAAGCUAAACUUUAUAAACUCUUGUAUCUAUUUUUUAAUAGAUUGA
rnacentral:lncRNA from 1 species